rnacentral:rRNA from 1 species
UGGUGGAGCAUGUGGUUUAAUUCGAUGCAACGCGAAGAACCUUACCAAGGCUUGACAUGAACUAGUAAGGCGCAGAGAUGCGUCCCCCACUUUGUGGCUGGUUUACAGGUGGUGCAUGGUUGUCGUCAGCUCGUGUCGUGAGAUGUUGGGUUAAGUCCCGCAACGAGCGCAACCCUCGUUCUAUGUUGCCAGCACGUGAUGGUGGGGACUCAUAGGAGACUGCCGGGGUCAACUCGGAGGAAGGUGGGGACGACGUCAAAUCAUCAUGCCCCUUAUGUCUUGGGCUUCACGCAUGCUACAAUGGCCGGUACAAAGGGUUGCGAUACUGUGAGGUGGAGCUAAUCCCAAAAAGCCGGUCUCAGUUCGGAUUGGGGUCUGCAACUCGACCCCANGAAGUCGGAGUCGC